rnacentral:rRNA from 1 species
UGGGGGAUAUUGCACAAUGGGCGAAAGCCUGAUGCAGCGACGCCGCGUGGGGGAUGAAGGCUUUCGGGUUGUAAACCUCUUUUGCUAUCGAACAAGGCCCGCUUAGGGUGGGUUGAGGGUAGGUGGAGAAGAAGCGCCGGCUAACUACGUGCCAGCAGCCGCGGUAAUACGUAGGGCGCGAGCGUUGUCCGGAAUUAUUGGGCGUAAAGGGCUUGUAGGCGGCUUGUUGCGCCUGCUGUGAAAACGCGGGGCUUAACUUCGCGCGUGCAGUGGGUACGGGCAGGCUUGAGUGUGGUAGGGGUGACUGGAAUUCCAGGUGUAGCGGUGGAAUGCGCAGAUAUCUGGAGGAACACCGAUGGCGAAGGCAGGUCACUGGGCCAUUACUGACGCUGAGGAGCGAAAGCAUGGGUAGCGAACAGG